UACGUAGGGUGCAAGCGUUGUCCGGAAUUAUUGGGCGUAAAGAGCGUGUAGGCGGCCCGAUUAGUCCGCUGUGAAAGUCCAGGGCUCAACCCUGGAAUGCCGGUGGAUACUGUCGGGCUAGAGUCCGGAAGGGGCGAGUGGAAUUCCUGGUGUAGCGGUGAAAUGCGCAGAUAUCAGGAGGAACACCAAUGGCGAAGGCGGUUCUCUGGGCAUGUCCUGACGCUGAGGAGCGAAAGUGUGGGGAGCGAACAGG
rnacentral:rRNA from 1 species